rnacentral:rRNA from 1 species
GAUGAACGCUGGCGGCGUGCCUAAUACAUGCGAGUCGAGCGAACAGACGAGGAGCUUGCUCCUCUGACGUUAGCGGCGGACGGGUGAGUAACACGUGGAUAACCUACCUAUAAGACUGGGAUAACUUCGGGAAACCGGAGCUAAUACCGGAUAAUAUAUUGAACCGCAUGGUUCAAUAGUGAAAGACGGUCUUGCUGUCACUUAUAGAUGGAUCCGCGCCGCAUUAGCUAGUUGGUAAGGUAACGGCUUACCAAGGCAACGAUGCGUAGCCGACCUGAGAGGGUGAUCGGCCACACUGGAACUGAGACACGGUCCAGACUCCUACGGGAGGCAGCAGUAGGGAAUCUUCCGCAAUGGGCGAAAGCCUGACGGAGCAACGCCGCGUGAGUGAUGAAGGUCUUCGGAUCGUAAAACUCUGUUAUUAGGGAAGAACAAAUGUGUAAGUAACUAUGCACGUCUUGACGGUACCUAAUCAGAAAGCCACGGCUAACUACGUG